CGGGAGGCAGCAGUGGGGAAUCUUAGACAAUGGGGGCAACCCUGAUCUAGCCAUGCCGCGUGAGUGAUGAAGGCCUUAGGGUCGUAAAGCUCUUUCGCCUGUGAUGAUAAUGACAGUAGCAGGUAAAGAAACCCCGGCUAACUCCGUGCCAGCAGCCGCGGUAAUACGGAGGGGGUUAGCGUUGUUCGGAAUUACUGGGCGUAAAGCGCGCGUAGGCGGAUUAGAAAGUUGGGGGUGAAAUCCCGAGGCUCAACCUAGGAACUGCCUCCAAAACUGCUAGUCUAGAGUUCGAGAGAGGUGAGUGGAAUUCCGAGUGUAGAGGUGAAAUUCGUAGAUAUUCGGAGGAACACCAGUGGCGAAGGCGGCUCACUGGCUCGAUACUGACGCUGAGGUGCGAAAGUGUGGGGAGCAAACAGGAUUAGAUACCCUGGUAGUCCACACCGUAAACGAUGAAUGCCAGUCGUCGGAUAGUAUACUAUUCGGUGACACACCUAACGGAUUAAGCAUUCCGCCUGGGGAGUACGGUCGCAAGAUUAAAACUCAAAGGAAUUG
rnacentral:rRNA from 1 species